AAAUCAACUGAAUACUGGGUAUGGGACAGAAAGAAUAGCCACAUGCAUUUCAAAUAAUGGAUUUUAAGCUUUUAAAAUGGAUAUAUUGGAAGUUAUGUCUACAAAAAAAGGAUCCAUUUGAUUUAUUUUUAACAAGAUACACUGAUGACUGGUGUUUUGGAUACUAUUCCCACAGGGCUGUCUUUGCAGUUGUGCUGCUCGUGAAUCUUUAUGGUGGCCAAAUCUAAUGAGAACAUCUGGAGCGAGCCUACAGUACCAUGAACACUGCAUGACUGACCUGGUGAUUGACAAGCAUUUGGAGCAUACUGUAAAAGACAUGGAGACAUUAAGAGAAGACCGACUGGCUUUGUGUCAACUGAUUGACAAUCUUCCGCUGCAGACAAUGGAAAACACUUUGAGGAAACAAAAAUAAUUCACACUGUCUUGGUUUCUGGGUGCUUCGUAUUUUUAGAAUCAUUGCAAAAUCUCAUACCUCAACUGCAUGCUUCUCAUUGUGGACGUAAAAAUGUGAAAACAAUUUAUUUACAGUAAACUGUAUAAAACUGGAUUUUAAUCUGACCUCAAGCACAAAAUAACCCAGGAAAUAUUGGAAAAUACAACUUUUUUUUCAUCA